rnacentral:rRNA from 1 species
CGAACGCUGGCGGCGUGCUUAACACAUGCAAGUCGAGCGAUGAAGCACCUUCGGGUGUGAAUUAGCGGCGAACGGGUGAGGAACACGUGAGAAAUCUGCCUUCAACACUGGGAUAACUCCGGGAAACCGGGGCUAAUACCGGAUAUGAAAUCUGCGGGCAUACCGCGGAUUUGGAAAGUUUUUCGGUUGAACGAUGAUCUCGCGGCCUAUCAGCUUGUUGGUGAGGUAAUGGCUCACCAAGGCGACGACGGGUAGCCGGCCUGAGAGGGCGACCGGCCACACUGGGACUGAGACACGGCCCAGACUCCUACGGGAGGGCAGCAGUGGGGAAUAUUGGGCAAUGGGAGGAAACUCUGGACCCAGCGACGCCGCGUGCGG